CAUAGGGCUGCGCCCUAUGUUGAAAUAUAUCGCCCUUUCAGGGCU
rfam:Ignavibacteria bacterium CG1_02_37_35 cg1_0.2_scaffold_4325_c, whole genome shotgun sequence.